rnacentral:rRNA from 1 species
AGAGUUUGAUCCUGGCUCAGGACGAACGCUGGCGGCGUGCUUCAUACAUGCAAGUCGAACGAGAAGCAAGAGCUUGCUCUUGUGGAAAGUGGCGGACGGGUGAGUAACAUGUAGGAAAUCUGCCCUUUAGCGGGGGACAACAGUUGGAAACGACUGCUAAUACCCCAUAUGAGCUAGCCUGAAAUGGUUAUCUUGAAAACUCCGGUGCUAAAGGAUGAGCCUGCACCUGAUUAGCUAGUUGGCGGGGUAAAUGCCCACCAAGGCUAUGAUCAGUAGCUGGUUUGAGAGGAUGAUCAGCCACAAUGGGACUGAGACACGGCCCAUACUCCUACGGGAGGCAGCAGUAGGGAAUUUUGCGCAAUGGGGGAAACCCUGACGCAGCAACGCCGCGUGACCGAUGACGCCCUUCGGGGUGUAAAGGUCUGUCAGUAGGGACGAAUUUUGACGGUACCUACAGAGGAAGCACCGGCUAACUCCGUGCCAGCAGCCGCGGUAAUACGGGGGGUGCAAGCGUUGUCCGGAAUCAUUGGGCGUAAAGAGUUCGUAGGCGGCAUGUCAAGUCUGGUGUUAAAUCCUGAGGCUCAACUUCAGUUCAGCACUGGAUACUGGCAAGCUAGAAUGCGGUAGAGGUAAAGGGAAUUCCUGGUGUAGCGGUGAAAUGCGUAGAUAUCAGGAAGAACACCGGUGGCGUAAGCGCUUUACUGGGCCGUUAUUGACGCUGAGGAACGAAAGCCGGGGGAGCGAAUGGGAUUAGAUACCCCAGUAGUCCCGGCCGUAAACGAUGGAUACUAGGUGUUGUGGGUAUCGACCCCUACAGUGCCGUAGCUAACGCGAUAAGUAUCCCGCCUGGGGAGUACGCACGCAAGUGUGAAACUCAAAGGAAUUGACGGGGACCCGCACAAGCGGUGGAGCAUGU